rnacentral:rRNA from 1 species
GUGAGUGACCUGCCUUUUAGACUGGAACAACUUACCGAAAGGUGAGCUAAUGCCGGAUGAGUUAUAUAAGUGCAUGUUUAUAUAGGAAAAGUUGGGGAGACCUGACGCUGAAAGAUGGACUCGCGUCCCAUUAGCUAGUUGGUAGGGUAAUGGCCUACCAAGGCGACGAUGGGUAGCCGGCCUGAGAGGGUGGCCGGCCACACUGGGACUGAGACACGGCCCAGACUCCUACGGGAGGCAGCAGUGGGGAAUUUUGCGCAAUGCUCGUAAGAGUGACGCAGCGACGCCGCGUGAAUGACGAAGGCCUUCGGGUCGUAAAGUUCUUUCGACAGGGAAGAAAAUGCCUAUAAGUAACUGUGUAUGUAUUGACGGUACCUGUAUAAGCAGCCCCGGCUAACUCCGUGCCAGCAGCCGCGGUAAUACGGAGGGGGCGAGCGUUGUUCGGAGUGACUGGGCGUAAAGAGCACGUAGGCGGUGUUGUAAGUCAUUAGUCAAAGACUAGAGCUCAACUUUAGUAAGGCUAGUGAUACUAUAAUACUAGAGUAUCAGAGAGGAUUGCAGAAUUCCUGGUGUAGCGGUGAAAUGCGUAGAUAUCAGGAGGAAUACCGUUAGCGAAGGCGGCAAUCUGGCUGGAAACUGACGCUGAGUGCGAAAGCGUGGUAGCAAACAGGAUUAGAUACCCUGGUAGUCCACGCUGU